GUACUUGCUUCAGCAGCACACAUACUAAAACUGGCAUAAUACAGAGAAGAUCAGCAUGGCUCCAGCACAAGGAUGACAUAUAAAUUUGUGGGAUGUUCCAUAUUUUA
ensembl:snRNA U6 U6 spliceosomal RNA